UCGGCGGACUGCUCAGUAACACGUGGAUAACCUGCCCUAAGGUGGAGGAUAACCCCGGGAAACUGGGGAUAAUACUCCAUAGGUUAAAGGUACUGGAAUGUUCUUUAACCGAAAGUUCCGGCGCCUUAGGAUGGAUCUGCGGCCGAUUAGGUUGUUGUUGGGGUAGUGGCCCAACAAGCCUGUAAUCGGUACGGGUUGUGGGAGCAAGAGCCCGGAGAUGGAAUCUGAGACACGAUUCCAGGCCCUACGGGGCGCAGCAGGCGCGAAAACUUUACAAUGCGAGCAAUCGUGAUAAGGAAACCCUGAGUGCCUGUCAAUGCAGGCUGUUCUGGUGUCUAACACACACCAGGAGAAAGGGCGGGGCAAGACCGGUGCCAGCCGCCGCGGUAAUACCGGCUGCUCGAGUGAUAGCCACUUUUACUGGGCUUAAAGCGUUCGUAGCUUGGUCGUUAAGUCUCUGGGGAAAUCUUUUGGCUCAACCAAAAGGCGUCUCAGGGAAACUGACGAUCUUGGAACCGGGAGAGGUAAGACGUACUUCGGGGGUAGGAGUGAAAUCUUGUAAUCCCCGAGGGACGACCGAUGGCGAAGGCAUCUUACCAG
rnacentral:rRNA from 1 species